UUUAAUUUCAAGUAUAUAUUUGCCUCAGUUCUGCUUAAAGAUCUGAAAAUCAUUACUCUUAUCAUUUCUUUGAAGGAGCAAUGGCAUUUUCCAGUUCACUCUUGCAAAACAAACAAAGUUAUAAGAAAAGACUAUCCCCAGAACAGGAUAGGAACUCCAUAGGAAGAAAAACAGACUCAACUAACCUGAACCACUGGGGCUCUCAGAGACUGAACUGCCAAUCAAAGAACAUACAUGGGCUGGACCUAGACUUCCCUGCACAUAUGCAGCAGAUGUGCAGCUUGGUCUUCAUGUGGGUUCCAAACAACUGUAGUAGGAGCUGUCCCAAAAGCCGUUGCCUCUCCAUGGGAUGUGUCCUUCUAGCUGGGCUGCCUUGUCUGAUCUCAGUUGAAGAGGGGGCACUUAAUCUCACAGAGACUUCAUGUGCCAGGGUCAGGGGAUAACCAAGGGGGCCACCCACCCAGAGUAGAAGAGGAGGAGGGAUUGAGGGAAGAGGUGAGCAGGAGGGGGCAGUGAGAGGGAUGUAAAGUGCAUUAAAAUACACAUGGAGGGACCCAUGGCUCCAGCCGCAUAUGUAGCAGAGGAUGGCAUUGUCUGGCAUCAAUAGGAGAAGAAGCCCUUGGUCCUAUGAAGGCUUGUUUCCCCAGUAUAGUGGAAUGCCAGGGUGUUAAGGUGGAAAUGGGCGGGUAGGAGUAGGAGCAUCCUCAUAGAAGCAGGGAGAGGGCGAUGGGAGAGGGAGGAGCUGGGAAAGGGGGAUAACAUUUGAAAUUGUAAAUACAUAAAAUAUCCAAUUAAAAAAAGAAAGAAGCGAAGAAACAAAGAACCAUGAACUCAGAGACACCAUGAACUCUGCUGAGUGUACACAUGCACCAGCAGUCUAUGCUCAUGGCGCACAGACCCUAGCCAGAUCUGCCUGCCUUUACAAAAGAUGAUGCCAUAUGGGCAAGAACCUCAGACAAACAGGCUUUCCUUAGCUGGGAAUAGGACACCAUCUUGGCUGGAGAUGAAGAAGGGUGGUGUACAUGAAAGAAAAAGUAACGGAUACUAGUUUCUGGUUCAAGUACCCCUCUACCUAAAUGUCUUACUUGAUUAUCUUCAAACUAUUAUUUGGCUGGCUGGUUUGCUGGUUGGUUAGUUGGUUGGUUGCUUGCUUGCUUAAUUAGUUGCUUGGACGGGUGUGUGGUUGAUUAUUUCUUUGGUUGGUUGUUUGGUUGGUUGGUUGGUUAAUUGGUUGGUUGGUUGCUUAAUUAGUUGCUUGGGUGGGUGUGGUUAAUUAGUUCUUUGGUUGGUUGGUUGGUUGGUUAAUUGGUUGGUUGGUUGCUUAAUUAGUUGCUUGGGUGGGUGUGUAGUUGAUUAGUUCUUUGAUUGGCUGGUUGGUUGGUUGGUUGGUUGUUUGGUUGGUUGGUUGGUUGGUUAAUUGGUUGCUUGGUUGGCUGGUUAAUUGGUUGGUUGGUUGGUUGGUUGGUUGCUUGAUUGGUUAAUUAGUUGCUUGGGUGGGUGUGUAGUUGAUUAGUUCUUUGGUUGGUUGGUUGGUUGGUUGGUUGUUGGUUGUUUGUUGUUGGUUGAUUUUAAAGCCAGGGCUACCACGUAUCCCUGAACUUAUUAGGUACCCUCAGGCCCUAAGAAUUCACUCUGUACCCCCAAACUGGCACGUAAUGCAUGGUACUCCUCUUGCCUUAGCAUGCCAAGUGCUGGGAUUACAAUGUGGGCCACCACACUUAGCACUGAAACUACAGUUAUUCUAGCCAAAUAUAAAUUAUUGAUCCUCCUCAUGGUAUUCUCCUCUGUCUUUCAAUAAUUGUUUCUGUUCCUCAGAACACGCAAAGGCACACCUCCUCUUAACUUCCCUUUUCCUGUCUCUACUUUCCUCAAGGCUAUAAUGGGAGCCAAACUGAAAUGUAAGAGAAAUGAAAGAAAUGAUUUAUACAGAGAAUGAGUUCUCCAUUAGAUAACAAAUCAACUUAUUAAUCACUCUGUACCCCACAGCCUUCACCUCAAAAUUGAAAAUAAGACUUUCCUAAGGUCCAGGAGGAGGAUGUGCCUACAGUUCCUGAUACCUCUGCAAAGCUCCAAUCAGCUCUACUGAUGAGCAUCCUAGGCAGAGCUGAGAGAGGGAUAUGUCCAGAGCCCUCUGAGUCCUCUCCUCCUUGCCUUAUGUGUUUCCCUCGCUCCCAGACAUUCUGCAAUUCCACUGCACACUGAAGUAGCAUGCCAAGUUUAGACUAGCAUUUGAUGUGGCUGUUUCUCACGUCCCUCCAGGUCUUUAAAUUGGACACAGGAAAGCAGCAGGCCACCUUUUAAUGGAAAACGUUUUUCUUGCUAAAUUUGUAUUGCUUUCCAAUUUAAGCCCUUGCCAUUGUGUUCCCACAAAUGACACAAUUUAACAGUGCAUGGGCGGAUUCUCCCGAGACUGAGAGGGUUCAUGAAAAUAUUCAUGAGAGGUGUGUCAUUCUCCUUCUGAGCUACCCACUGCACCCAAUUUAGAAAGACAAACUCUUGGCAGAUGGGGCUCCUGGCCUCUUUCCAGUACGUGAUUUGAAUUGUUUUUCAGACAUCACUAAUCAGAGGCUGACUGAAACCUGCAAAUAAUUUUUUUUCUGUCCCAGAGAUUCAAGUGACAUGUUGGGAUAAGGCAAGACACGUGUUAUUCUGCCUCUUAACGGACCGUCAGAGUACAGUGGCUGGUGGUGUGAGCUGUUUGGGGGUUCCUAGGCCUACAGGGGAGUUUCUUCUCACUUCACUUCUCCCUGUAGUCAGAGGGACCGUGGCUGACCCCUAACAAUAGUGCAGUGGCCCGAAAGAAAUAAGGUUCUACUUUCAAUCCAGUUCCUUAACGGAGAACUAACCACCAUUACACAACUCAUCACCCAAGCCAUAACUAUUUGGACUGAAGGGACAAUGGUCAUCAGUGGCCCUGGUUCUGCACUAUUGAACGUUUUAAUCAGCGUCCUUGGGGAUGCCACAUGGAGCACACUCAUUAAGUUUACAUGAGAAGCUGUCUGGAGGGAGCAAGGACAGCUCGGAAAAAACAGGAAUCAACCCACUGUGGCCACAUCCAGAUGGAUCCUUUGUCAAAAGCAAUGAAGCCAACAAAGCCAGCAUCACAAGAAAGGGAAGAUGCCUUGGAAAAGAACUGAACCAGUCAGGAGCUCCAAGACCAAGGCUUAGCUGUACCCACUGCCCUCUGCACAAAACACAUCACUUUGCUUUUAUGUCUCAGGACAUCUUAGUUUUCCGGCUGUGAAGACAGUGCUCACGCCCAGCCCCAAUCACUGACUAGAGUCCGGUAAAAAUCAAACUGCAUUCAUCUUUGUGGCAUUGUGUGUGUCCCCAUUCGUGCACAUGGAAUCAACAUUAGAUGUCCUCUAUUUCUCUUCUUAUUAUUUUUUUCUAAUCACAAUAAACCAAAUUUAUGAUCACAUGGAGAAGUGCUUUAGGUGAGUUAAAGAAAUUUUCUCCAAUAGUUUCUCUCAAUAAUAGCUCCUGAAGGCAGGGUCCCUCACUGACCCUAGAGCUCAUCUAUUGUCUAGACAUAGCUGGCCAACGAGUUCCAGUUAUGUUCCUUUCUCUGUGCCCUGCCUUCAGGGCUGGUGAUACAGAUGUGCACACCCUACCUUUACGCAGGUGUUGGGAGUCUGAAUUCAGGGUCUCAUGUUGACACAGCAAGCACUUUGCUGACAUCCAUCUCCCCAGAUCCUCUACCCUCGUUUUAAAAAUAAAAUCACCAACUGUGUAAAAUCCAGAGAAACUGUCUGUGGUUGAAGUUACUUUUUGAGAAGUCUUGUGGAGAAAUUAUAUUUGUAGAAUACUGUUUCUUGUAUACAGACACACACACACACACACACACACACACACACACUAUUGCAGUACCUUACAGCAAUUUUUUCUUAUAUACAGACAGACACACACACAUACUUAACACACAAUUUUCUUGUAGUGUCUUACAGCAAAGCUGUUUCAUACAGAUACACACGAACGCACACUCGCUCUUCUUGCGGUGUCUUACAGCAAUGGUCACACGUUGACCAUUCCCUUUACAUCCCUGACCUUGAUCUUCGUUUCUGGAACCACUUUUCUGUUAUUCCUUAGACAACAGAAUGAGCUGAAGCUCCAGAGACGACAAACGUGCUGAGUAGGCGUGCUUUCUGUGAGGAGCGGGGGCUGCACUCAGCUGUCUGUCUCAGAGAUACUGAAAACUCAGUCACUCCGAAAGGGGGUGACUCUUAGACUUGGCUGGUAGACUUGGUGUGCAAAUGAAGCCCACCCAAGGGACCCAAAGCUUGUGGUUUAUGGCACUAAGAUGGCCACUUUUGUUCUAAAUGGGCAGCAUUAAGUUGCAGUAAAAAUAAUAAGAUUCAAAUGUUCUUUGUCAAGAAAAGAAAAGGGGGAGGAAAAGAGGGAAAGAAAGAGGGAGGGAGGGGGAGGAAGAGGGUGAGGAAGGGAGAGAGCAUUUUGUCGUUUCUGGAGUGUAACAGGUCUUGAGAACUCGAAUGCCUCCAGUAAAACCCUAUGAGGGAUACGAAGAUGAACCACCCCACAAGACCUCCAUUGAAACAGGUACCCAGAUAAAAGGUUCCUUUUGCUAAAAUGCAUGGACUCCCGUGAAUAAAACACUGUUUCCGCCUUUGCUCCAUCUUCUUUUCUUAGGCUACAGGCACAGAGACAAGCCCUUGUCCUUAACCUUUCUCUAGUCACCUUAGAUUCCCAGAGCAGCAGGACAGACACCUUAUUGCACAGCCCUCCCACACAUACCCAGACAAAGGCCGUUAUCUACAGUGGCUGGGACUGCGCCUGAACACAGAGGUGAGCAUCUUGUAAGAGUCGGGUUAGCGGGACUUUGGGGCUAUCUUCCAGAAUGAGAACUGAGAUACCCCACAUCUGGGCCAAUGAACUACGCAGAAAGACCCCAUGUCUCCGCCUCAGUCCUUCCUCUGUUUAAGCCUAAAGCUCAUGUCAGCACCACAUUGGUGGACCUGGUGUCGCUAGACAUCCGUGUCUGUUUUCUCAAAUGUGACCACACUGAGUAAACACCCGCCUUGCUUUCUCCAUCGCUCCUCUUAUGGACUGGAUGUACUGUGAAUGGGUAUCCAAAGCAAGCCUGCCUCAGUUUAUCCUAAAACCUUUGGUCACCUGGCCACCAGGAGACUGUCUCUAUAAGUGUAAUCCCUGGCUUUUGUUUCUAUGUCUUUCUAAGUCGUGAUUCUGCUGUGAGCUUGACAGAGACAAGCUCAGAGUUUCUGCCCACUUCUUGCCAGUUUUUACUAACAAUUAUAAAUACGUUCUUUUUUUCCCCCUAUUUUCCUGCACGAUUCUAAUCAACUUGGUGCAAGAUGGGAAGGAAUCUCAAGGAACAAAAUGCCUCCCUAAGAUUGGUGCUGGAGACAAGCCUGUAGAGCACUGUCUGUCUAUCCAUCUGUCCGUCUGUCUGUCUGUCUUUCCUCUUUCUUUUGGGGGUUAUUCAAGACAGUCUUUCUCUGUAUAGCCUAAUAUUGGCCUGUAGAGGGCAUAAAUCCACCUGCCUCUGCCUCCUGAGUUUGAAUUAAAUGCCCACUCCACCAUGCAGCCUCAAAAUACCAUUGAGUUCUUUUUCUGUUGGUCAACUACUUAUGGGCCAUACAUGGGUUCUGGGAAUUGAACUAGAUCUUUUUGCUACUAUCUCCCUACAUUUUCUUAAUUAGUCGUUGAUAUAAGAUGGCCCAGCCCACUGUGGGUGGUACCAUCCCUAGGCUGGUGGUCCUAGGUUCUAUAAGAAAGCAGGCUGGGCAAGUCUUGAAGAGCAACACAGUAAGCAGCAAUCUUCCAUGGGCUCUGCAUCAGCCCCUGCCUCCAGGUUCCUGUCCUGACUUCUUUCAAUGAUUAACAGGGAUGUGGAACUGUAAACAAAAUAAACUCUCUCCUUUCCAAGUGGCCUUAGUCAUGAUAACCUUAACUAAAACAGAAGCAUUGGAAAGGAAGACUCAGGGAGAUCAGUUGUUGAGAAUAAAAACCCAGACAGGAGAAACAAAUUACCGUGUUUCAUAGCCCAGUAGGGUGCCCAUAAUAUAACACACUGCAUAUUUCAAAAUAGCUGGAAACAAAGAUUUUUGCAUCUUUUUCACAUUAAAAAAUGAUAUAUGUUUGAGGUGAUGGAUUUGCUAAUUAUCCAAAUGUAAUGGUUACAAAUUGUGUGCAGGUGUCAAAAUAUGACAUAGCUCGUAUAAACACAUCUAAAUAGUAUGUGCCAAUUAAAAAUAAGUUAAUACCCUUAGGAUCAGAUGUUAACAUUUUAUUGGUCUCUUCAUCAAUUAAUCAAGUAGAAGAAAUUCCUCGCGUUUGUUCAUUUGAAAUCGUCAUGAGGUGAAAUUUUUCACUCUUAACAUUACGCUUUAAACUGUAUGUUUAACUUUUAUGUUCUUAUUUGGUAAUACUCUGUAUUGUUUAAUUGUCAUAUAAUACUUUAUAUUUAAGUUGACAAAAGCUGUACAUGUGUGUCAGAGGCCACCCAGCCUGCUUAUGCCUUUCUUUGACUGAGCUAGGUGUUUUCCACUUCAUGGACCCUUGUUUCCAGGUAGCAUACAUGGGGGUUACCAACGGUCAAGACUACAGGAGACUUUCUGCUAGCUUACUUCUACACAAGAACGAGUUUCACUCUGUUGUUAGUUAGAGAUUUCAGGAUAUUGAAACUUAUUGUAGGUAAGAAGUUUCUGGGAAAUCAAAACUUAAUGCCAUUGGUUUCUGGUGUGAUGUAUGUUUAUCGUUACCCUGACUACCAGUUUGUGUUGUGUGAUUCUUUUUCUGCUUAUAAGCAAGUGCUUUUUGCUUGAUUAAAUGAGACUUGAUCAGAAUACUGUCUUGUCUCCAUUUCUUGGGCCUCUUGUCCCAUCCACCCCACUCCCCUCUCCAGGGUUUCUGUUGAUGUUCCCGCGGUCCGGAACAUAUAGGGGUUGUUGUACAUAGAUUUUUGACAUGUUAUCCAUUGAGAAAAAUUUAUUAAUAUAUGUUAACAACAUACUAACAAAUAUAUUAUCUCAAGCUCUUUUUGUUUCCUUUGGAGUGAGAAAACUCAAGGCAUACCUCCUCAGUCACCCUCAGAUGUAAAAAGCAUUGUUUGAACUGCAGUUACCAAGUUAUAUGCAAUGUCUCUUUUUGAGAUUUUUAUUUUUUUAUUUUGUGUGUAUGGAUGCUUUGCCUGAAUAUAUGUCUUUGUGCCAUGUGUGUGCAGUGCCAGAAGAGGAUGCUGGAUGCGUAGAACUGUCGUGACUGAUGGCUGUGAGCCGCCUGGUAGGUUCUGAGGCUUGAACCCAGGUUCCCUAGAAGAAAGAGCAGGCAGAGCUCCUAAUCCCUGGAUCAUCCGUCCCUCCAGCCUGAAUAUUCUCUUGAACUUGUUUCUUUUAGUUGUAAUUUUGUACCUUUCAACAAAAUCUCCCCAAAGUCUGCUUUUUUGUUUGUUUGCUUGCUUGUCUGUUUUUGUCUCUACAUAGUCCUGGCUGUCCAGAAACUCUCUAGGUAGACCUGUCUGGCCUCUCACUCAUAGAGAUCCACUUGUCUCUGCCUCCCAAAUGCCGGAAUUAAAGGUGUGCACUGCUAUGCCUGACUUUCAAUGCCUGUAUUAUAUGCAACUUACGUGUGUUUCUUAAAAGUUGUCCCGAAUCGUUUGUGGAAAGAAGUCAAAUGAUAAUAAAUUAAAAUGAGAUGAAAUCUGUAUAUGGGCAGGUGAAUCUCUGUAUUUUUAAUAGUAUCAUACAGAUAUGCUGCUCUCGUUUACGUCCUAUAGUUUAGCAACGUAGUUAAACACUAUAGCGGGGCUUGCAUCAACCAGUAUUAGAAUUGGGAGACAACCCGCUCAUAACUUGAGAGGCUCUGCAGACAUGCUACAAGUCACUCCUCUGCCUUUUAGCUGUGUUCAAGUGUGGUGUCUGAAGCACAACAAUAUAUAAGAUAUAUUCGAUAUAAGAAACAUAAUAUCCAUCAAAUAUAAAAGGGAGCUCAUGGGCUGAGGAUGCAGCGCAGCGAUGGAUGCUUGCCGGUGCCCUGGGUUUAAUCCCAGCCCUGUGGUUAAGGAAAGGAGAGCUUACUGAAGGAACAGCUGUUCUAGCUGUCCUAUGUACCAGGAGCAAAAAGAGAGAGAGAGAGAGAGAGAGAGAGAGAGAGAGAGAGAGAGAGUAUUAUCUCCUUUUAAAGGCAAACUUGGGUCGCAUGUAACAACAGCACUCUCAAGCAAGCUAUGCUGCUUUUGAAAAGCCAGUCAGAUUAGACCUGCCCAAGUUUUCCUCGUCAGUUGAAAUUCUGCUGUUCAAAGCAUUGACUUGGAGAACACAGCCCGCUCCUUCCUCUUUUCUUCCCCCUCUAGCUCCUUCCUUGUGUCUCCUUUAACUUCAAACUUUCCCUGAAGCCUCUGACUUAGAACAGGAUAAUGGGUAAAUAUCGAAGUCCUGCACAAAUCCAACCCAUUUAAGAAGCUAGCCUGGGCUACAUAGCUAGACUCUGAGGCAGUUGACCAAACCGUCAAUGAACACGUCUUUUUUAAGUUUGAAAAGGUAAAGAUUUUUCUUACAAGACAGAUUUGGAAGAAUUGGGAUAUAGCCCACCUAGACCAAUGUCUAUUCAGGGCUACUCAGGAAUGAACAACCUCUUCCCCAGGGGAAAAGGGAUGAAUCAAAAACUUUCUUAGUCUUUAUUCGUAACCAACACUUUUGUAUUCCAUAUUGUAAAAAAAAAAAAAAAAAAAAAGGAAUUUCCAAUGCAUGCUGUUAUUAGCUUAACAUGUUCACACCAUUAAUGGAUGUUCAUACCAUUAAUGGUUGGUUUGUUCUGAGUUAAUCCGCAAGCCCUGUACCUCAAAUACCCCUGGUGUAAAAGGUCGAUACCAUCAGAUGCAAACUAGCCUGGGCAUUUCAAGAAGUGACUGCAUAGUGGAAGAGUAAAGACUGGGGGAUGGGGAUGGUGGGGGGAGGGCACCAAAUUAACAUAUGAAAGAAGCCAGUUGGCAGAGUAAAGGCCUGUGCUGUGUAAUCGUGGGAAAGGCAGGUGCUCUGUAAAUGGUCUAUAAAGGGUCACGCCUAAUAUUUUGGGGGCUUUACCCUCAGAGGCUCACUAACCCGCUCCCAUUCUCGGGGUUGCUUUCUCUUUCUUAACGAACCGUCUAUACUUCUACCAUGAGUUCCUGCUCCUGUUCUUUGUGGUGGGACACAGGAACCUGGACCCUUUAAGAGGCAUUAGAGGACGUCUUUGCAGGUGCUUGCUCUGUGCCUGUUCCUCCUGACUUCAGACGUCCACAGAAUAGGAGAGCGGCAGGAAUGAUAACGAGAGAAGCUCAGAAAUGUGGCUGGCCCCCUGACCAGAGAGACAGCUGAGCUCUGGAGUGAGCCUCUGCUCCCUCCUCCCACCCCUUUGUGAAGUGCUGGUUGGAGAGAUGUUGCUCACGUGUCUGGCUAACCCGCUGCCUUCUCAGAUCACGGACUCCCCAAGUCCAGUGCAACAUACAGAUUCACUUCCUGUCUCUACCCUUUCACUUCCUGUCUCUACCCUUUGACCUUCGCAGUGACAGGCGCAGUGAGCUCUGCUGUUCCAGUGACCCUGUGAGCAGGUUAGAGUGGCCGCAGCAGUCAGGAGAGAUGGAUGCUCAUGGAGAACAGCUUAGAAACAACUUUUGUAGAAGUCCACUCGGUCCUCACUUAGGACCAAGGCAACCUAAAAUCCGAGCAAAAGCCUAGCGUCUCCGUGGGUCUCCUACUUGGGUGGGGGCAGAGCAAUAGGCCUUCCAUUUCCUUUGAUACCUUGCCCCUUCAGGCACUCAGAUGAAACAGUUGUCUGUGGUGGUGAGGCUGCGCCCUAAUGGAGACAACCAGGCCAUGAGAACGCCUGGAAAGAACUUCUUCUAACUCCCUGGCAGAAUCCAACCUGAGACAAUGGUGCGUGGGACCACACCUUGACCCAGACCGAUUGAAUACACAUACUACUUGCCCUUUGGUCCACUUCUUGUCCUUGAACCUAAAGUUCAGGUCGGUACCCAGUGAUGGGGUGGGGGUCACUGGACCCUUUAAUCUGCUCUGCUUCCUAAAGCAGCCACAGGGACCAAGUCUCACUCUGCUUUGCUCUUUUUCACAAAUCUUUAACUCAUGGGAUGGGCAGCGAAGCCUGGCUCUCUGGGACUGCUGGAGUCCAGGGUUUUGCCCUAAAAUUUGUUAUAAACCAAGCCAUUAAAGGAAUGGGGAGGUGGCUUGGUCAGUAAAGUGCUCACUGCACAAGCCUGGUGACCUGUUUCUGACCCCCCAGAAUCCACGUUUGCUUUUCUGUCGCUGUGAGAAACUACUUGACCAAAAGCAAGGUGGGCAGGAAAAGAUGUAUUUCACCUUCCCCUUGAGGUCACAGCUCACCCCUGAGGGAAGUCAUAACUGGAGUUUGAGCAGAACUUAAAGUAGCUAGCUUUCUUCCCUAGCCCAGGCCCACUGCCAAGGGAUGCAUGAGCCACAGGGGGCUCAACUCGCCAUCAAGAAAAUUUCCCGGGGUUGGGGAUUUAGCUCAGUGGUAGAGCGCUUGCCUAGCAACCGCAAGGCCCUGGGUUGGGUCCCCAGCUCCGAAAAAAAGAAAAAAAAGAAAGAAAAGAAAAAAAAAGAAAAUUUCCCACAGACAGACUCACAGACCAACCUGAUCAAGGCGGUUCUUCAACCGGGGUUCCUUCCUCCCAGGCAACUCUACUUCAUGGCAAAGUGCCAUUCCACAACUGGAGAGGUGGAGACAAACAGAUUCUGGGGCUCACUAUCUAGUCAGCCCAGACUACUUAGCUCCAGGUCACUGAGAUCCUGACUCAAAUAAACAGUCACAGAUGUGGAAGAACAAGCUCUCACUGCGGCUCAUCACCAGCCUAAUCUAAGGAACCUUGUCCGGGAUGAGCUGACAGAACCUGCAAUCAGAUCACUCUGAAAGCAGCCUGUGGCCGGGAGCCUUGGUGUUCUGGUGUUCAGCUGCCUCACUAUGUCUUUGAGCCCGUCCCGUGAUGCACAUCUCAGUUCAAGAGCUAAUGGUUCGUAAGGAAGUUCCUCAAAGGAUCAUCUCUGAUAGAAUGGUUGAUGCUUUUCAAUUUGCACAUUCCACAGGCAUAUCCCCCUAACAUCAAAACAAGAGCGGAUUCCACAAUUUCCUGGCUAUCAUCACAAGCUCCUUUGUCUGUUCGCUUCAAGCUGACAGGGGAAAUGAUUGAAUAUUAAAAUAAGCAAGAUGCUGCUUCUGCCACUCACUCCAAGAUUUUGGAUAUAAUAUCUGUUAGAGAUAAAAGUGAAGGUUGUAACUAAAAUAACACCGGUACUGAUGUUAAAAAUUUUAAAA